rnacentral:rRNA from 1 species
GACGAACGCUGGCGGCAUGCCUAAUACAUGCAAGUCGAGCGAACAGAUGAAGUGCUUGCACUUCUGACGUUAGCGGCGAACGGGUGAGUAACACGUAAGGAAUCUACCUAUAAGCGGGGGAUAACAUUCGGAAACGGGUGCUAAUACCGCAUAAUAUCCUCUUCCGCAUGAAGAAGAUUGAAAGACGGCUCUGCUGUCACUUAUAGAUGACCUUGCGGUGCAUUAGUUAGUUGGUGGGGUAACGGCCUACCAAGACGAUGAUGCAUAGCCGACCUGAGAGGGUGAUCGGCCACAUUGGGACUGAGACACGGCCCAAACUCCUACGGGAGGCAGCAGUAGGGAAUCUUCCGCAAUGGGCGAAAGCCUGACGGAGCAAUGCCGCGUGAGUGAAGAAGGCCUUCGGGUCGUAAAACUCUGUUAUAAGAGAAGAACAAAUUGUAGAGUAACUGCUACAGUCUUGACGGUAUCUUAUCAGAAAGCCACGGCUAACUACGUGCCAGCCGCCGCCGUAA